rnacentral:lncRNA from 1 species
CAUUCUAAGAGGUACUAGAUUGACAUUAAACAUUUGAGAUAAAUUAGUGAUCUCUGCUCAUCUUCUAUGUCUGGAACUGUAAGUUUGGAAUAAUUUCAAUUUCCAAACAAAACAAUUCAUUUGUUUUUAUUUCACCCUUUAUUAAUUAGACACAGACCAGAGUUGCCAAUCAGAGACUCUGAUCAGCAUAAGGUAAUAAGAGUUUUCAUAUGAAAUUGAUAAGAUUUUGCCCCAAAGCAAAGUAAUUUGACACUCAGCUUCAGUAGCAUUAUUAUUGGUAAAUGUGUUAUUCCCUUAGGCCUUCUGAAAUAAUGAAACUGGUUAAUGGAGCCCUUCAUUACAACCUUCCAUGGGUCCCCAUGGGCCCAUGCUGCCAUGAUAGGUGAACCUGAGCCAAAAAUAUCUCUUCAGUGGGCAGCUGGAGAGGCGAAGCAGGAAAAGUCAUAAAGUCUGCCCCGUGACUGACUGUACCUCAUGCUAUUUUUUUCAAAGGGUAGGCUAUGUUAAAGGACUUCAAGAAGGUCACUACAACAAAAGUAUGC